AACAACAAUUGAAGUUCGAUUUCGGCUCGACAUUGUUGAAUUUUUGAAGUCAAUUCCACCUAUGUACUUGGAUGAAAACAAGUCUUUGAUUCUGAAGAUUGUGGAAAGCCAGAAUUCGGGGAAGAUUAAUGAGUGUGCUGAGUGGUAUGCAAAACGAUUUCUACAUCCUGACAUUGUGGCACCAUAUGAUUACAUAUUUAUCUGGGACGAAGAUUUGGGAGUGGAUAAUUUUGAUUCUGAAAGUUAGCACUCUUUCUGCAUCAUAUCCUCUAAUGUCUUGAGCUAUUCAGUACAGAACUUUUGUCAUUUUUUUUUAUUGAAUUUUCAGAUACGUUGAUUUGGUUAAGAAACAUGGUUUGGAAAUUUCACAGCCUGGUGUGGAUCCUAAUAGUCCGUUUACAUGGCAGAU